UACAGAGACUGCAAGCGUUAUUCGGAUUCACUGGGCGUAAAGGGUGCGCAGGCGGCCGUAUGUGUGAGGCGUGAAAGCCCGGGGCUUAACCCCGGAAUUGCACCUCAAACUAUAUGGCUAGAGCAUUGGAGAGGGUAGCAGAAUUCAUGGUGUAGCAGUGAAAUGCGUAGAUAUCAUGAGGAAUACCAGAGGCGAAGGCGGCUACCUGGACAAUUGCUGACGCUCAGGCACGAAAGCGUGGGGAGCAAAAGGG
rnacentral:rRNA from 1 species